rnacentral:lncRNA from 12 species
CCUAAUUGCUUCUCCAUGCUUCUUGUCUUUAUGCCACAGUCAGAAAUGGAGUUAGAAAAAGACUAACUCGGUUGUGUCCUCCUUCCCUUAGGGUGAUUAACAGGAUUAAGUCCUGAGCUCAAGCCCACUCUUGUUUCGGGGUUGCUAGCCUUGGUUGACUGAGCCUGGCUGCUCCCUUCUCCUUCACUAGACUCUGAAUCUUCAGAUCACCUGUUCCCACCCACGUGAGGGCACAGGGUCAGAUGUUCCCUCUGCCUAUAUACGUCCUCUCUUCCUUACUUUGAUGGCUAACUCUUCACACUUCUUUACAUUUCCAAUCAAAUAUCAACCUUGGUGUGGCCCUCACUAGCCACCAGGCAGAGCCAGGCUCCCUGUUAUGUAGUCUUCUAGCACCCUGCCACUGCAUUUUUUCCCUUCUUCCCACACAUUUCACGCUUGUAUUUGUAUUUAUUUGUGUGGUUACUUGAUUUUUGUCUUUUUGAGGAGACCAGAAGCUCCAUGAAGACAAGAACCAACACUGUUUUGCUCCUUGUUAGGAUUGAGGCAAAACAAUCCUCCUUCAGCUGGUUCUCAGCAAAACUUCAGGGAAUCCAGGACAAAGACAGGAAAGCAGAGCGAUCUCAUCCCUUCACCGUGAAAAGUGAGGAGAAAGGUGAUGGUGGAGAAGCCUGGAGGCGCAGAUGUGAAGCAGACUGGCCAGGACAAGGAGGAAGAGUGGGGUCUAACUACCAGUGCCGCCAUUACUACCACCGUCAUGUCCAGGAACUUCACCUCGGUUCCCAGAAGAGAUUUAUCCUUAUGUUUCAUUUUCAUAUCAAGAAUGAGUAGAGGACAUUAUUCUCUCUCUCUCUCUUUUUUUUAAUUCUCAAGAAGGGUUUGUAAAUGUCUGUAAUUGCAUUUUCCCUGAAAAUCUGGAAGAGUUCAUCAGUAAAAUUGCAUGAGGCUGAUGAUUUUCUUUGAGGAAAGACUUUUAAAUACUUACUCAAUUUGUCUAAUGCUUAUGAGAUUGUUUAAACCUUCUAAUUCAAAUAGAGAUCAUCUCAGAUUUUUCAAAAGCCAAUUUUAGUAUAUUUCUAGGAACGUAUCCCUGUUUAGAUUUUUAUAAUUUUGAAAAACAUUUCCAAUCUCUUCUUAUGCUCCUCUUUGCAGCCCUAUUGUUGACUAUUUGAGCCUCUCUCCACCCCCAUUUGAUCUCGAUCAAUCUUGCGGGAAGUUUAUUUGCCAUUGUUUCUGACAACCAGUUUUUGACAUCGUUGACUCUGCCUAUUUCAUUUCUUUCUUCUUAAUUUGUCUUGUCUUCCCUUCUACUUUCUAUUGUUUUGCUUUUCUUAAAUUCUUGAAAGGAGCUUGGCUUAUUAAUAAUUCAUUAAUUUUCUCUUCUACUAUAAUGUCCUGAAGUUAUCCGUGAGCUCUUCUGCUGCUACUCCGUGUGCCCAGACACCUGCUAUUCUAGUUAGUGUUUUCUUGCAUUCUUUCCCUUUGCAUUUUGGCUUCUCUUGAACUGAUGUUUGACCUAUAAAUUAGAAGUUUUCAAAGCCUCUCAAUAUAUUCUGUUUCUUCACAUUCCUGUCCUCUUUCUGAUUUACAAGUGGGUUGCACUGGAGUCCAAGAAUGUGGCCUGCUUUAUUUUGACUCCUUGGAAUUCAUUUAGACUUACCUUGUGGCACACGCAGUGCACGAGAUUGAUGUGAAUGUUCCUUGAGUAAUGAAAAUAAUAGCAUCCUCAAAUUGUUGAGCAGAGUUUUCAUUAUAUGGCCAUUAUAUCCAGCUUGUUAAUUGUGCUGUUGAAAUCCCCCUGUCUGAGCUACACAUUUUCUGCCUGACCUGU